rnacentral:lncRNA from 1 species
AACUGGCCAGCUGGUGGCACAAGGGUUUCUUUAGAGCUUACGUCCCUAAAGCUCCAUACUACUUCCAUCACGCUUCUUGGAAAGGCAUCCCGCCGCCAGCGUUCAGCAGAAGAGCAGAGGAAGCGGUGUUUCGAUUACAAAUACCAAAGCCAUCACUUUCUUGUGCCCUAUCCUCCCACGAAGGUCGUGAGAGGGAAGAAAACCCCACUGCUGCCUGCCCCUUCCAACCCCUCCGGCGCGGUGCUGAGCGGUGCUGAGCGGCUCCAGCAGAGCCAGAGGUUUUUCAGACUGAGCUGUCUUUGCAUUGACUCACUUACUGAGAGUGAUCGCUCUGUUUCUGUGAAGAAUGAAGGUUCAGAAGAUUCAUGA